UCUAGAGUGGAUAUUGGCAGAAAGCCUGC
rnacentral:piRNA from 1 species